UACGGAGGAUGCAAGCGUUAUCCGGAUUUAUUGGGUUUAAAGGGUGCGCAGGUUGUUUGAUAAGUCAGUGGUGAAAGUCUGUCGCUUAACGGUAGGAUUGCCAUUGAUACUGUUGGACUUGAAUAUGGAUGAGGUAGGCGGAAUGUGUAGUGUAGCGGUGAAAUGCGUAGAUAUAUGGAGGAACACCAGUGGCGAAGGCGACUCUCUGGUCUGUAACUGACGCUGAGGCUCGAAAGCGUGGGGAUCAAACAGGAUUAGA
rnacentral:rRNA from 1 species